ensembl:lncRNA
GGGCAGAGCUGAAUGCAAGAUGGUACUCCUCAGGACCAACCUAGAGAGCUCUCUCACCUCCCUCUCCCACCUCCCCUCUCCCGUCGCAUCCACACUCAGUUGAGCUCGGCUCAUGCGGAAACUAUUCAUUUGGAGAAAUGCGCCGGGAAGGGUAUUAGCACCCUCGUCUCCCCGUGGAGCUCGGGAAGGUAAAGUGAGACCGAGAGAAAGAGAUGGGGAGAGGGAGAGACAGACAGACAGACAGACAGACAGACAGACAGACAGACAGACAGAGACAGACAGACAGACUUGGGAGAGGCAGGGCGAGGCGGCAGCCAUUAGAGAAGUAGAGCUCCACUGUCUCUGCAGAGGAGAAUUGAAGCACGGAAGCUGGGGAAAGAUGGCGAUGCCUCCCAUCCGCCGACUAAUCCAAAUAUUUACUUUGGAUUUCACAUGCAAGUCGCCCAUUGGACGGAGAUGAGGUCAGGAGGUUAGUCGUUGAGCCAAGGCAUCAUUUAACUGUAGGGCCAUGGCAAUGCAGACGUGCCACUCUUAACGUUGCAUGAACAGGGCCUGGGGGGCCCCCCUCCCAGAGUGGGCCCCACCUGUGUCUGCCCUGCUGGUACAGGUAACCACAAGCCGCCUCAUGGCCCCCAGCACAUUUGCUGUAUCAUCCAUUAAGGUGGCAGAUCUUCAUAUGUUUUUCCUCUGAAGCCUCAGCUCAUAAACUGACUAAGAGGACCUCUGCCUGUUUGUCACACCUCUGUUCUUCUUUGGUCUCCAUGGUCACGGAACGAUAGAGGUCUCCCACAGGUGCCGAGUCAGCUUUUGGGUUCUUUUUGGAUGGAGAGUGUUCCCCCUGAGAAUUCCAAGUCUUUUUUUUGUAAUGCAUUUGAUGUCCACUGUGCCUAAAUUGUCCUUCCCGUGGUUACAGCUUUAGUUUGGGUUUUAUCUGUUUACCUCUUUGUUUAUCUGUUUACCUCUGUUUAUCUGUUUGUAGCUACAGUUUCGGCUCUUUCAUAUGUCCUUAUGUUUGGACACCUGCAUUUGUCAUUUUGUCAUUUUCAAUCAUUAUUCUGGUCUUUUUUUGUUGUUGUCGUCUGUCAUUUGUGGUUGAUUUAUUUCUUUCAUGUUGGACAAAAUGAGUCCUUGUGUAAAGACGAGUAUCAUUAUAUCCUUAAUUAAAGCCAGUUCACUGUACCUUAAUAAGUGACUUGUGGUUUUACCAACCCCUUUAUCAACUUUAUCUGAAUAAAAAUAGCUGGUUUCCCG